CAAGUGUCGCUUAUUAGGUUUGCCUGAUAUUUCAAGCAGCAGUCUAACAACUAUUAGAGUUACAUGGAAAAGAAAAUUAAUGCUAUUAUUUUACAUGCUUUGCAGUCUGCCAAAUGUUAAUAGAAGCAACAAAAUGACGUCAAAAUCCCAUUAAGAACAAGUAGAAGAAAAUUAAUAAUUAAUUUCACAUCAAAAGGAUCACACCAUAUUGGUUAAUUUCACCCAAAACCUCUUCCUCAACAAAAAUGCAUGCUGCAGCAAAGAAAAAAAUAGGAGGAAGCAGAAGCCUUCCAAAAACAGUUAAAAACAUUUUUCUGAAGAACUUGAACAUUAGAUACCAAAAUGCGAGUCAUGUUUGGAAAACAACAGUAUGAAAGAGAUUUUUUU
rnacentral:misc_RNA from 1 species